AGCAUAGCAAGGUCCAGUGAGUGGCUUUGGAGCAAAAGAAAAGUGGUCAAUGGGGUAAAGAAGGCUGUUGCAUGUCCAUCCUGAACAUCACAGCUGCUAUUGGCCAACAGGAGGAUGAAACCCAGUUUUGUUGGGGUAUAGGGAGGGUUUAAAUGUCGCCAGUCUCCGCUGAGCUGUUUUCUGCGCCCAGCGGCAGACCGGAGGUUGGUGCAGCUCCCAGUGACAAAGCUGAGCCUUUCACUGUACCAGUAAACUAAAAGACAUUCAUGGACCCCAGAGGAUGACUCCUAGUGAUCUUGUUGACCCUUUGACUUUUCUGCCAGCAGAUGAAGCUUUGACUGAAAUGACUCAAGAACUACUGGAUGGACUUGUACUUGCCUCGAUUACCUGUAAUAACUUUGUCUAGCACCACCAUCAGGUCAAAAUAUAGACUAUUUGUCUAACACUUUUGGUUUAUGACCAAAUAAUGAUAUUCCAUCAGCCUCAGCUAUUUUGUGCUAAUUAGCUAAUGUUAGCAUACUAACAUGGUUAAUAUGGUAAGCAUAGGCUACAUGCUGAAUGUCAGGGUAUUAUCAUUGUGAGCAUGUUAAUGUUAACAUU